UACAGAGGGUGCGAGCGUUAAUCGGAAUUACUGGGCGUAAAGCGUGCGCAGGCGGCUUUGCAAGACAGAUGUGAAAUCCCCGGGCUUAACCUGGGAACUGCAUUUGUGACUGCAUGGCUGGAGUGCGGCAGAGGGGGAUGGAAUUCCGCGUGUAGCAGUGAAAUGCGUAGAUAUGCGGAGGAACACCGAUGGCAAAGGCAAUCCCCUGGGCCUGCACUGACGCUCAUGCACGAAAGCGUGGGGAGCAAACAGG
rnacentral:rRNA from 1 species